GAGCUUGUGGCUUAAUUUGACUAAAUACGAAAAAACUUAUCACGUCCAGACAAAGUGAGUAUUGACAAACUAAGAGGUCUUUCUUGAUUCAAUGAGUGGUGAUGCAUGACCGUUCUAUGUAGGUGGAGCAAUUUGUCUAAUUAAUUUCGUUAACAAACAAUAUCUCAGUCUGCUAAAUAACUAUGUGUUGGUAAUCCUGUUGGUAAUCCUGUAUGGUAAAUGUGACCUCUUAAACCACAAAAUUUUGAAGUAAUAAUAAGUUUGUGAUGCCCUUAAAUAUUUUGGUCACACACUUGGUA
rnacentral:ncRNA from 1 species